CCUACGGGAGGCAGCAGUGAGGAAUAUUGGUCAAUGGGCGCGAGCCUGAACCAGCCAAGUAGCGUGAAGGAUGACUGCCCUACGGGUUGUAAACUUCUUUUAUAAAGGAAUAAAGUGAGGCACGUGUGCCUUUUUGUAUGUACUUUAUGAAUAAGGAUCGGCUAACUCCGUGCCAGCAGCCGCGGUAAUACGGAGGAUCCGAGCGUUAUCCGGAUUUAUUGGGUUUAAAGGGUGCGUAGGCGGAAUGCCAAGUCAGCGGUAAAAUCGCGGGGCUCAACCUCGCUCCGCCGUUGAAACUGGAAGACUUGAGUGUGUUUGAGGUAGGCGGAAUGCGUGGUGUAGCGGUGAAAUGCAUAGAUAUCACGCAGAACUCCGAUUGCGAAGGCAGCUUACUAAGCCAUAACUGACACUGAAGCACGAAAGCGUGGGGAUCAAACAGGAUUAGAUACCCCUGUAGUC
rnacentral:rRNA from 1 species